UCAUAUGACACUUUGGCCUUAGGCUGCCCCUGAUCUUGUUGAUUUCUGAAGCUAAGCAGGAUCAGGCCUGCUAAGUACUUGGAUACGAGACCACCUGAGAAUACCAGGUGUUAUAGGCU
rnacentral:rRNA from 1 species